AAGCAGGCUAAAAUGAACCAGUUGUUUCUUUGCCCCAUGCUCUGCUGAUGCUCUGCAGAGGCAUUUCAGUGGAGGACAGCUAUGUUGAGGUUGAUGUAAUCCAGAGAGUUUACUGUGAGUGAGGUCAGAGAGUGCAGGACACACUUUGGCCAGAAAUGAGCUUGAGUUAAAUUUUUGCCACAUUUUGGGCAGGUUAGAAGACUUGCCGGUUAUGUUUCCCAGAAGUGGUAGUUCUAGACAAGUUUCUUUGCAUGUGAGCUGCAAGGAUUUGCUCACAACAAAGCAGUAGUGUGUUGAGGUGUGUCUCUGCGCGUCUUUCCAGGUCACCUCCAGCAUUCCUCUUGUGCGGGCAAGGUACAGAUGUUUUACCCAGAGUGUGGAGCUGCAGUUUGGCACUGUGAGAGAUAUGCAAAAUAUCUCAGGGGCUGCAGGCCUUCGGAAGUUCACUCAGUGCUGUUCAUGUGGUAAAUCACUGGCUUGUGCAUGUCAGAGGAAUUGCCUGACAGCCGGUGUUUCUCCCCUCCAGGCUGCUGCCGGAAUUCUUCUGCUUGCUUACGAGAACAUAUGCUUAGAAAAAAAACAAAAACCAGAACACCCUUCACUGCUAUUUGGCACCUAAAGCUGUAUUUUAAUUUCUGGGUGCAGCUUUUUCUCUGAACAUAUUGUGAAAUACCAGCACAUUACCCAUCUGUUCCAACUUGGUGUCUUCAGGGCUGAGUCCUGUAGAGGAAAGGUUAUCAUUAACUUCCUUUAAAAAACUUGAUUUGCUUACAAAAACAAUAAAUGGGGAAAUUCAUUGUAUUCUACUCACAAUGCAGGUUAUUAUUCCAUGUUUUAACAAAAAGGGCUCAGGGACAAAAUCCUCACUGCAGCCAGAUGAGUUUGAGCAAUCCAAACCAAAUCUGAGAAAUCUUUCCUUCCAUUUUGGUUCAGGUUUAUCUUUGAUGCGGGCUCUGAGGAACUCUAAAAGCCACAGAAAGACCUGGGUUUUGCAGAGUGAUUAUAUGCGCACAAGCUGACUGAGGAGUCUUUGACAUCAGUGAGCCUAACAUAACCUAGAGUGAGCUUGUAAGACUGGUGACCUCCAAACCAAAUCAGUGCAACAAAAGAUGCUCAGAACAACUCCUGAUACAGCUAAUCCUGAGAAAGAUCUAGUCAUAGUGAAUGGGCCAAAUGAGUUUCUGUUGUUUAGCUCACAUCUCAGUGGAAGCUCUCUGGGAUAUUAAGUUUCUACUUUUUCUACAGGCAUGUCUGAUUUGGGGUCUGCAAAUCUUAUCCUGUUAUUUUUUCUGCCCUGUAUGAAAUUGCACAGCCUCAAUGAGGCAUAUGACAUUGCCCUGGGCUACUCCUUGCUGCUGGUGAAUCACUUGACAGUGUAGAGCUCUUUGCCCAGGGAUGUACAGGGGCAGACACCACCUGCACCACCCAGACCAGGUGCUUGGAUCCACCAGGGACUCUGACACAGGUGCUUAGCCCAAAAGGAUUCACAGCAAUGGCUCCUCCAGCUCCAAACAGCACAAAACAAGACUCCUACGUCUUACAACCAGUCAGGGGACCAAGAUUUUCAGUGCGUCCCAGCAAUGUCUGGGAUAAUUAAAAAAUUUGUUAAAUAGAAAAGUCUGUGUGAUCCUAGGAAAUAAACCUCAUGUCCUACUUUAAAAACGGGCAAAACUUCCCCUGAAAUACUGUCAAUCACUGCCCUUGGGACUUGGGAAAUUCUUUCUCAACCACAUAAGUACAGGGAGAUGUGAUAAGAUUUUGUAAGUUUUUGCAAGACUUUACUAUAAAGAAAUGACAUUUACAUGUUCCAAUUCCUUAAAUGCACGUAUAAGUUUAAGUAUGUGCAUGUAUAUCUAUAUAUGCACGCAUAUGUUACAUGUGUACGGGUAUAUGCAUGUGUUGAUGGGUAGGUGCUUAGGGAUGUGGGUGCACAUCUUCCUACCAGACAGUUCAAUCCAAUAUAAUGAAAACAGGGUAAUUUCAAAGACACUAUAUUCCCACAAGUGUUAUGAAAAUCAGAAACUGGGUGGAGCAAAAGUAGGCUAUGGCUACAUCUACAGUUGUGAAUUAAACAUGCCUUGCACUGUUCUCUGCUCCUGAAGCCAAUUGGCACAGAACAGACAGUUCCCAUACUAUUAAACCCUCUUACCCUCCCAAAAAGUUGACCAUGUGCAAGUGCCUAUUUUGGUGGACCACCACCUUUUCUACCUCCUAAGCAGUUCCUGGGAAUUGUUUAAAAGGGAUCUAGUUUUCUCUGGUCAAAACUAUGCUACCCAAUAUUCUCACAAUUUAACAGCAUAGUUGGUCAAGUUCCAGUGCUUGGGAACAUUCCCUAGCAUUGUUUAUUUUAUUAGUAUAGAUGCAGCUUAUGUGUGCACCCAACUGAGAAGCGGGCUGUUCUGUUAAUUCAGGCUUUAUUAGACACUAGAUUAUGCCCAGAAAAGCAAUGUUGUGAGUGCCCCAGCAGCAGGGACCAGCUAGGAUCUAAGCUCAGACUUUGCUAGAUGUCAGAGGAGACAACUAGGUGGCACAAAUUGGUGGGAAACUCUGCUGUGAUAGUUCCACUGCUCACAGACCUGCUUGUUCCUUUGUGUAACCAGGCACUGCAUUUGCUACAGGGAAGACAUGCAGUCAGGGUUGAGAGAGGUUAUCAGAUGGGCUCUGAGAAGUGCACACACUGAAAUGGCUUGUGAUUUCCCAGGAAUAAGAGAACCCCCUUCUCUGUGCAGAGAUUGCCUAAAAGUUGGCAGCACAGACACCUGGCUCAUUUGGGUGCCAUGGCUUCUUUCUCAAGGACUGUUACAGGUAGUGCUACAGAGUACCCAAAAGUGCCUGUUGUGGAGCACUAUGCACAGAGCAGUCAAACAGAUAUGUACAGAAAAAGCUAAAUGACAGGCCUGAUUAGAAGCUGGGAAAAUAGUGGGUUGGCAGGGAUGCCACAAGAGGGACAAAAACCUAUGACCUCAGGGAAUGAGGACGCCCCUGUUGCCCCAUCGGUUCUGAGAGCAGUACCUCUCCUUGUAGUUCUCUAGCACUUUCUGCAUGUGGGAGCUGAUGUUUGCAGGUCAAAAUGGGGAAAAAUUAAGAAAAAGCUUAUGUUAUCAUCUAAAUAAUAUAAUGAGAAUCUAAAAGCGGAGUGAGAACAGAGACAAGAGCUGCAAGGAGCAGAACACUGGGAAAAGAUCAGUCAAAAUGCAUAUAGUUAUUUGUAGGACAAUGGUGGUGAGAGGCCAAAACAAGACUAGUCCCCAUCUAUAGGCCAGGAACCUACUGGGCAGCAAAGGAAAGGUCCCGCUGCUGAGCUUGAGGUCUAAAUAAACAGCUGUUUUAAUGGUUUGAAGGAAAAAGUGUGACAGCCAAAAUUACAUGGCAAGUCAGUGACAAAACCAGAGCUUUGGUUUCCUGAGUGCCUAACUAAUGACUAACCCACUUGUUUAGAAUGUCUAUCAAAUGGACAGAGCUAGACACAGAGGCAGAGAGAUAGAGGCAAAUAUGAGUGUACAUAGAAAGGAAAUACUGCUGUACAUGAGCUGGACACUGAACUUACUGCCACUGAGGCUAAUGGAAAACUUCCUGAAAGAAGAGAUUUCCAUGGUAGAAUGAUCCACAAGAUCAGGAUUUUCUGGGAAAAUAUCGACUUAUUUCAAAUGUGAUAGGAAGUCAUAAAAAGGUGGUGCUUCAACUUUUUAACCUCCUUUUCUCUCACAGGUUUUAACUUUUAGGGUGGUAGUGAUAAAUCUGAACAGUCAGAACAUUGCACUGAAAUAGUUUCAGAACAUUUAAUUUGGGGAAAAUUUCAUGAAACCUUCUCCAUCUGAGUCAGGACAACAACAAAGCUCCAGGGAUGUCUUGGGAUUUUUUUCAUCAGUCAACUCCAGUACAACAAGGGGAAAUGUACAGCCAGUGUGCACCAAUAAAUCAAACGAUCAAAAGAGCUGCACAGGGAUAUGUGGCCAUACCCUUUGCAAACAAGGCCAUGCAUGUACAUACCAACACAAUUGCUUUGCUUGGAUUUGCCAGGAGAAAAUGGAAUGUAAAGUAGUCUGUAAAUAGCCAAUAAAUCUUGCUCCCACUGUUUUAUGUGUUUCUACCUUAGUCAGGAAGGAACUUGGGUUUUUUAAAACCUGAAGUUAAUGCAACUAGCUCAAAUGUGGUGUUUUAGUGGAAGAGAGAAUGGAAAAGGUUUUGAUUGUUCUGCCAUUCCCUAGAGGGGGUCUUAUCUCCAAAUAAACCUUUUUAAGAGCUUCAACGUGAUUUCUAAAGAAAAACAAAUACAUCCAGAAACUUAGACCGGCUCUUUCCUGUUUAGUACAGCAGCACGCCCAUCAUUCCAACGCUAACAUCAACAGUAAAAAGGACUGUGGCAGGUGAUUGAAACAAUCAGUCCUACACUCCUGUCUCUAACUCCACACACUGAGCAAGCUAGAGAAUAACCCUCUGUACACCUACAAUGAACCACUUGGUGUUAGGACUAAUUGUUAUUUUUAAAGAAAAAGAGACUACAGUUAGACUGUACAUUCUUCAAGGUUUGGGGCUAAUUUGGGGAUAAGAUGUCCUUCCUCAGCUUACAAUAUGAGAAAAAACUCCUUCCCUGUGCAGGUGCCAGAGCAGUGGCACAGGCUGCCCAGGGAGGCUGUGGAGUCCCUUCCCUGGAGACAUUCAAAACUCACCUGGACACGUUCCUGUGCCCCCUGCUCUGGGUGUGCCUGCUCCAGCAGGGGGUUGGACAAGGUGAUCUCCAGAGGUCCCUUCCAACCCCUGCCAUUCUGUGAUUCUGUGAUCCUUAUCCCCUGCAAAAUAUCUCCUGGGUUUUCACUGAGACAUGUAGCACUGUGUCCAGAUAUGUCAGAAAUCUGGUGAAUAUGCUGUCUGCUCAGAACAGUUUGUUCAGCUCUGGGUCUAAUUCUGUGUUGCAGUGUGCAGCACAGUCAAAAAUUGCCACAGUGGUUUAUAGAGAAACUCUGCUAAUAUUGAAAGGCUUUUUUUCCCCUUUCCUUGUGAGGGGAAAAUAUGACUUUCCUAAAAGAAUGAUUCCACUGUGCAGCAUUAAAGGCUGAAUUGACUGUAACAUAUAGUUGACUUCAGAAGCCUAAACAGUUGGUGCUUCAUCUUUCUGCCAGGACAUUCGUCUUCUCCAAAAACACUAUCAGUCUCUGUUGGAAUGUGUGCACAGCUGUAACGCUUGAAGACUCUGAGUGAACUAUCGUGUAUUAAACAUUUGUAAUUGUUUUUCACUGGACUGUGACCUGAAUUUAGGAACAUCUGACUGAUGGCUACUACCAACAGGAUAUCCCAAUGAGUGAGAGGAAGAUCCUGUGUUAGUGCAUUUGCUGGAGUUAGACCAGCUGGAUUUCUCUUUUGUUUAAUAUGUUCAGAAGUCUGCAAGGAAAUCAUCUGCAAUGGGGAGAGUUCUAGAGCUUAUCAGAGAGAUAAGAAAGCUGCCUAAAUUUCCUGGACGUCUUUGUACUUGGGAACACUCGUUGAGAGAUUAUGGCAUACACUGGAAGAGUUGGGACAGUAAAAGCAACUGAGUCUUCAAAUAUGACUUGUCAGACACUGUGCAGUCCAUGUUUCCUACUGUUCUGGCACCACUGACCCUUCAGUCAGAAUCAAGAUACAAUAUGAAGUGAAAUUCCUGUGUUAUUUUUAUCUCUGUAUCUUUUCUCCAAGGUGACUUGUCUUUGUAGAGAAUCCUGCUACUAUCAGGCAGUCUUCUCUAAGACUCAUUCUUAUUUUCUGAUGAGCUGAGAACUGGAAUGUAAUAGCCAUUUAUUAGUCUUUUUCUUCAAAGUUCUAAUGGUCAACUCUGUUGGCCAUUACUCUACCACAAUGAUCUCAGAGAAAUGUAAUAUUACAGGGAAUACAAAGAACUUAUGCUUCAUCUUGACCUGAGAAGUUUGGAAAAUACUUCAGGAAAGAUACACAGUGUGACUGUUCGCAAUAGCAAGAGACAGAACUCAUGACCCAAAAGGCACUGUCCUGUUUCGUAUUCCUAAAAAAGCAAGAGCAGAUCUGCCCCAGUUGGAAACCUUCUUUGGUGACAACACUGAUGUCUUCCUACAAGGCCUCCAGCCAUGUGAGGGCAAAACAAUUGCAACAGGACUGUGUGAAAGUGAAGGACCUUUUAAUGAACUCUUGGUUUUGGACUCUGCACAGGGCUUGAUUCACAUCCAUGUAUUAAAAAAGGUCACAACAUUUGUUAGGAAAGAAAUGAAAUGUACAUCUGUGCUCUGCUUAAUUGUAAAGCCAAGAGCUGUUGAAAGGGACAAAGUUACAUCAAUUUACUAUUUUGUCAGACUGGUGAAUUAACAGUGCAGACUCAAACAUAGUAAGAAAAAGAAAUGGAUCCUCCAAAAUGUAAUUAUUUCAUUGGUAUGAUUACCCCAAGAAAGUUUUGACAGGUUAAAGAACCCCCCAAAAUGAACAAAAUGUUUCCUAUCCUGAAAUGUUUUGUUCUACCUGAAUUCCUUUUCUUACUGUUUUCAGAGCAGUCACCACACCAAAAAAUGGUGAAACACACCACACUUUUCUUGUCGUUGACUUCCUUCAUGUGUUUGCUUAAAGUAUUCUUACAGCAUUGCUCUUCCUUCUUCUAAUCGAUGAGCUUUUAGUGAGAAACAAAGAAAUACCUUGCCCAAAGUGCACUCAGAUCAAGGAACAACAUAGUCAAUCAGUCAGAUGGCAGGUCCAGAAAUAAGCACUAGACACAAGACAAGGUGAUACAAUGUCUGUAGUACAAGAUAUAUUUUGUGCUUAGAGAUGACAUUUUAGUUUACAGCAGCAAUGCACUUCCAAAAUGCAUCUUCCAAUUGUUUCCAGUUGAUGCAUUUCAGUUUAGCAUUGCAGAGUGGUCUGAGAACGUGUUCUGCAUUUCUUUUGGCCAAAACAAAAUCAGAAGAUUCAGUCUGUAAGUGUAUCUCAUGUUCUCCAACUGGAAAUGGUUGUUCAACCAACAGGGCAAGAAAAGGGUUAGAUAAGACCUGUGAAGUGUAUAUGAAUGCAGGCUUUGGAAAUUCAGCACCCAGUGUUUCUCUCUACAAAUCUGCUCAAUCUCGCCUGAAUCUGCACUAGCCCACUAAGCUCUCUUGGUAGUCAGAGGAAAGAAAUAGGAACUUCUAGGACGUGAGUCAUCUGACCUGAUUUUUUUUGUCAGCUCACAUUUACAUAUUAAAUGAAUUGUGCCACAGAAGCACUCGUUUCUCUCCACUGAAUCUAGACAACAGGCUCUGAGGUAGCUAUUCUUGGUCAGAUUAAACCCCCUUUAGAGAGUAUGGAAGUCCUAGUGCACUAAAAGCAUUGUAUAGGCUUAAAACCUGCUAAUUUAUUUAUCAAAUACCUUCUUAAAUUCACUUGACUGAUCCUCUCAGUGACUAAUUUUAUUUGUGUGCCCCACACGAUAGUCAUUUGUCAUUCAACUAACUGAGGUAUCUGGCUCUCUAGCCCUCUUUUCACUGUCUUGUAACCUUCUCAUGAUAGCAGAUCAGUUCAGAAUUAUGUCAAUGCUAUCAAUGACUUAAAAUGCACCAAUGGCUUUUCUGAAGAUUUCAGAAGCCUUAAGAGCAAAACUGGUUUUUGUUUUGGGAGACAUGCUACUCCUUCUUGGAAGACUCAGUGGGAAAAUAUUGAGGGGGUUGUUCUAGUCUUCCCUAGCACAAUUAAAACAUGUAUAAAACUGUAUUGUC